UUUAACAAUGCUAGAUUUCAUAAAUCAUCCACAUAAUACAUCGAUGAAAAGACGUGCUUACUUAUCCUAUGGUAUUAUUUCGGCAGUGGGCUCAAAACAUAAGGCUAAAGCCAUCAAUGAAGUGAAACGGAGCAAAUGGUCAACCUGUAGCUUUGGCCUCUGCUGUAACUAUGGCUCGCCUGCGACUUCUGCUAAGACUAGGAGAUGGUGAUCGGGAAUAACUUUGUCCACGUCUGUAAUUCAAUAACAGAUAAAUUAACUUAACCAUUAAAGUAGACUAGAACAUUAAAGCAUAUACAUGGCGAAAAUAAGAUGGAUACUUCAAUUUCUUAGGCUAUUCUGAUAGUUUAUUUCUAUAUGACCUCGAUCCCUACAGCGGUAACACUUGUUCCUCAUCUCCAAUUUCAUUAAUGGUGCCUCUCUGGUCGUUGAAAUAAUGAAAGACAAGGAAUUUACAGAAGGGGGAAAGAGAGAAAAGGGAAUGGAAAAGGAAAGAGAGAAG
rnacentral:lncRNA from 1 species